UCUAAAUAUCAUAGGACUUCUUAGGUUUC
rnacentral:piRNA from 1 species